rnacentral:hammerhead_ribozyme from 1 species
GUUCAGCUGGCGAAUCGUAAAUAAAACGAAAUGCGCGUCCUGAAU